rnacentral:rRNA from 1 species
UACAGAGGUCUCAAGCGUUGUUCGGAUUCGUUGGGCGUAAAGGGUGCGUAGGCGGCGCGGUAAGUCGGGUGUGAAAUCUCGGAGCUUAACUCCGAAACUGCAUUCGAUACUGCCGUGCUUGAGGACUGGAGAGGAGACUGGAAUUUACGGUGUAGCGGUGAAAUGCGUAGAGAUCGGGAAGAACAUCGGUGGCGAAAGCGCUCUACUGGACCGCAACUGACACUCAGGGACGAAAGCUAGGGGAGCGAAUGGG